rnacentral:rRNA from 1 species
GAUGAACGCUGGCGGCGUGCCUAAUACAUGCAAGUCGAGCGAACGGACGAGAAGCUUGCUUCUCUGAUGUUAGCGGCGGACGGGUGAGUAACACGUGGAUAACCUACCUAUAAGACUGGGAUAACUUCGGGAAACCGGAGCUAAUACCGGAUAAUAUUUUGAACCGCAUGGUUCAAAAGUAAAAGACGGUCUUGCUGUCACUUAUAGAUGGAUCCGCGCUGCAUUAGCUAGUUGGUAAGGUAACGGCUUACCAAGGCAACGAUGCAUAGCCGACCUGAGAGGGUGAUCAGCCACACUGGAACUGAGACACGGUCCAGACUACUACGGGAGGCAGCAGUAGGGAAUCUUCCGCAAUGGGCGAAAGCCUGACGGAGCAACGCCGCGUGAGUGAUGAAGGUCUUCGGAUCGUAAAACUCUGUUAUUAGGGAAGAACAUAUGUGUAAGUAACUGUGCACAUCUUGACGGUACCUAAUCAGAAAGCCACGGCUAACUACGUG